CCCCCCGGCCCGGGAUAGACCCCAGGGGAAAACCUGGAUUAAUACCGGAUGAGACGGGACCCGCGAUGGCGGGAUCCGGGAAAGGCGCUGCGGCGCCGCCGGGGGAUGAGUCUGCGUCCCAUUAGCUAGACGGCGGGGUAACGGCCCACCGUGGCGACGAUGGGUAGCCGGCCUGAGAGGGUGACGGCCACAUUGGAACUGAGACACGGUCCAGACUCCUACGGGAGGCAGCAGCUAAGAAUCUUCCGCAAUGGGCGAAAGCCUGACGGAGCGAACCGCCGCGUGAACGAAGAAGGCCGUGAGGUUGUAAAGUUCUUUUCGGGAGGGGGAACAACCGUGGCUAGGGAAUGGCCGCGGGAUGACGUGAAUCCCGGAAUAAGCCCCGGCUAACUACGUGCCAGCAGCGGC
rnacentral:rRNA from 1 species